AACGAACGUUAGCGGCGCGCCUAACACAUGCAAGUCGCACGAGAAAGGGCUUCGGCCCCGGUACAGUGGCGCACGGGGUGAGUAACACGUGGGUAAUCUGCCUUCGAGCGGGGGGAUAACAUUCCGAAAGGAGUGCUAAUACCGCAUAAGACCACAGCCUCGAAAGAGGCAGCGGUCAAAGCCGGCCUCUAUACAUAAGCUGGCACUCGAAAAUGAGCCCGCGGAGCAUCAGCUAGUUGGUAGGGUAAUGGCCUACCAAGGCUAAGACGCUUAGCUGGUCUGAGAGGAUGAUCAAGCCACACUGGAACUGAGACACGGUCCAGACUCCGUACGGGAGGCUG
rnacentral:rRNA from 1 species